rnacentral:lncRNA from 1 species
AAGACGAGAAAUGUUUUUAACAGAUAUAGGAUUUAUUGUAAUAGACACAGAACAUCACAGUCUUUUUUUGGUUAAUGAACAAACAAAAAACAAGGAUGACAUUAAAAUAUAAAAGUAAUUAACAACUCAGAAGAGCAAACACUCGGAAGAAGAUUGGAAACACAUCUUAGAGGACGAAAGACAAGGCACCGACCAACGCGGUUGCAAUGAGCUGAGGAUAGGCGGAGAAAGUGGCAGCACUUGGAGCCGGAGCACCUGGAGCCGGAGUAUGAGCAUGUGGCAUCGGAGCCAUAGCUGGACCAUGGUGGUGCCCGGCGUGUGACUCGGCACUCAUGACCAAUACGGCCAAGACAAUGCAGACGAAGGCAAAGCGGAUCAAAGAACUUCUUGCUGCCAUUUGAAUUCUUCUUUCUCCUUUUUCUUCUUCUUGUUCUGUGGUGACUUUCUUUGCUAUCUGUGGGAUCUAUCAAGAAAGG